rnacentral:misc_RNA from 1 species
GAUGAAGAACGCAGCGAAAUGCGAUAAGUAAUGUGAAUUGCAGAAUUCAGUGAAUCAUCGAAUCUUUGAACGCACAUUGCGCCCGCCAGUAUUCUGGCGAGCAUGCCUGUUCGAGCGUCAUUUCAACCAUCAAGCCCCAGGCUUGUGUUGGAGCCCUGCGGCUGCCGCAGCCUCCCAAAACCAGUGGCGGGCUCGCUAUCACACCGAGUGCAGUAGUUUACUCUUCGCUCAGGGCGUGUGGCGGGUGCUAGCCGUGAAACCCCCAACUUCUCAAGGUUGACCUCGGAUCAGGUAGGAGUACCCGCUGAACUUAAGCAUAUCAAUAAGCGGAGGA